rnacentral:rRNA from 1 species
UACGAAGGGGGCUAGCGUUGCUCGGAAUCACUGGGCGUAAAGGGUGCGUAGGCGGGUCUUUUAAGUCAGGGGUGAAAUCCCAGAGCUCAACUCUGGAACUGCCUUUGAUACUGGGUAUCUGGAGUAUGGAAGAGGUGAGUGGAAUUCCGAGUGUAGAGGUGAAAUUCGUAGAUAUUCGGAGGAACACCAGUGGCGAAGGCGGCUCACUGGUCCAUUACUGACGCUGAGGUGCGAAAGCGUGGGGAGCAAACAGG